rnacentral:lncRNA from 1 species
ACUUGGGUUAAAUUUUUACUUUUAUUUCUUCUUGUGACUAUUUUUUAUAAUUUUAAAUAAUGCAUCUAUAUCUCUGUUACUUAGUUUGCCAGCUUUAAAAAGUAUUGAUCCCUCAUUCCCAGCUAUUAAACCCUGGUGAAUUAAUGCACAUUUGCCUCCUAUUAUUUCCUUUAAACCUUUCAAUUCUGUCAUUUUUUCAUCAAGGUUUACAUCAUUUGCAGUCUAUUCUGUUACAUCUUCCCCUUCUUAUCCCAUUAUUUAAUGGCAAAUCUAUUUUUAAUUUGAUUUGAGAUUAACUUAUGUUUAUUUAUCAUGGCUUCUCUCAAUAUUAAAAAGGGAGACUAAACUCUAUCAUUAAACAUUUUGCUUUAUCUCAGUGCUUAUUGUUCAGCACCAUGAUUUUCUAGGAUACAGUUUGUCCUUUUCAAUAUAAAGAUUCAGACUAAAUUCUGGAAUUUUUAUUUCCAGAAAAAUUUUAUUCUAUUACACUUAGAAAUUGUUUUCCAUUUGUUCUGUUCUUUUUCCCUUCACAAGUAUCGGUUGUUCCUAUAUUUCCUUUGUCUUCCAAACGUAGAACAUAAAAUUUUAAUUUAUUCAAUUUUAAUAGGUAAAUCAUUUACAUAAUUCCAAAAUACAAAUUAUAAAAUGAUAUACAGUAAAAAGUCUAACUUUCAUCCAGUUUUCCCUCAUUCUUACACCAUCUUCUGACAGGUAACCACUGCUAUUGGUUCAUUAUCUUGUUUAAAAACCAGAACUGAUGGGUCAAGGAGCAUAUAUGUACUUGUUACUUUGGUAGAUAUUAUAAAAUUUAUCUCCAUUUCAAGUUGCUUUUUUUUAGCAUUUUGAUAGAUGAAGAUGCAUCUUGUUGUUUUCAAAUUUGCAUUUCUCUUAUCAUGAAUAUUUUAAUCUUUACCUUAUGUAUGAGUUUAAUAUAUAUUAAUAUGUUUAAGAGCCAUUUGAAUGUUUUGUGCAAGUUUCUCUACUGAGUUGUUGGUCUUUUAUCAAUUUGAAAGAGAAAUGAUUUGUUAGGAAUAUAUUUUUAUUUGAGAUAGGAGUGCCAAUCAUAAUUACCACUUUCUCACAUAAUUUAAAAAUUAUUUUUAAGUUAAAAAUUUUUUUCUCGUUGACAUUUCUGGUGGUAUUGUUAGAAGUUCCUUCCUUCUUGGACUUUCCAUAUCUAAUGUGGCUUUUAGUACUACAACAGUUUUAUUUUUCUCUUCCAUCUCGUUCCUGUUUUCUCACAGGUCAUUUUAUUUCUCUUUUUGUUGUCUUAUCUCUUUGAUCCCAUAUAUCCAAUAUUUGACCUCUUAUUUUUAAAAAGCUACAAUUUCUUCUGUUUCUUUGCUAUUAGAGACAAUAUAUUAUUUUCUGGUAUAACUCUUAUUAUGGUAUAUAUCUUGAUCUGUUUUUUUGCUUAUGUCACAUUUGCUUUAAGAUAGUUAAGCAUGGGUCCAAUGCUGGUUCUUUUCUAUUUACCAUUUUUCAAUCAGCCAAUUUUAUCAGCUCUUUGCUGACUAGGAGAGGGAAUGAAAUGGGGCAGUACAGAGUUUCAUUUUGGUGCCAUAUUUCCUGGCACAUUAUGCCCUUUCUCUUCACCUCCACUAUGCAUACUGCUCAAGGAAUAUGCCUCUGCUUAGUUACUUCUCCAUAUGGGUUAAUGGGAGUCCUAAAGGACUUGUAUGAAAUCCUAUAUAUUACAGAUUCUUGCUGGAGAUAAUUUAAUGUUUCUUUUUCUUCUACUGAAUGUGAUCAACACGGCAAAAGCUAAUGUAGUUUUUACUAUAUCCACCUUGCCAGCUUCACAUCCUGGUCUGUGGCAAGCUGAUGUCACUCCUUUUACUGCCAGCUUCUUUGUUGACAUCUGUUGUAGAAUAGGGCUCAGGGCUGCAUCCAUACAUGCAUAAACCACCUACAGCUUAGAUUUUCCUGUUUCAUGUAGAUAAUGGUAGCAUGUCCCCCUUAGGGUCAUUUCAUCUAUUUUUGGAGGUUCUGACUACUACAUAUGUUUAACAUACUCUCAAUAUCCCCCCUGACUUGGCCUAAAUUUCAUAAUAUUCCAUGGCUUGUAAUUUGACAUUGCACCUGUUCUUUAGAGAAAGAGGAGUUUUAUGUGCCUCAUUUUUGUUUGUUUGUUUGAUCGCUUAUUUGGUUUUUGCAUAAAAAAGUAUGAAAUAGAAUUUGCAUUUACUUUUUCAUCUAUGUCCUCUUAAAUUGACAAGAAGAAAACUUUACUUACAAGCCUCUCUUCACUCUUCUCUCAGUUAAGUGCUUGGCCAUUCCUGUCCCAAAUUUGAUACCAUCAUUGUAAGCUUCCAGAGGAAGCUAUGGAAUGAAGCUAUGGUUGUAGAAUGACAAGUAAUAUGGAAGAUGUGGGCAAGAAGCUAGAGGACCACAAUGAGUAUCUGUAAAAUUACUUCAUGUGAGUGACUGAUAAAUUACGUUUCAGUUACUUAAGCUCUAGCAUUUGCUACUGAAAUGCCUCAUUUUUCUAUAAUAACAGAACAAUAGGAAAAACUAAUUUUUUUAUUUAUGUGUUUAAACAAUUUUAAACAUUAGGGUGGAUUUCCUAUCUUCUAAAGAAAUGACUCAAUAUAGUGAAAGUACGUCGGCAUGAGAAGUUCUAGAUUCUUAAGCUCUGUCUGCCAUGUAUUACUAAUAAAAUUUUGGCAAACCAUUCCUAUCUGUAAAAUUGGUAUAGGAAUACUUCUUUUCUUAACAGAUAGGUUUUCUGUGAGUGGCAAAUGAAGUAACAUCUAUCAAAACGCUUGUAAACUAAUAAAUAACCAGAAAAGUAUGAGGGUUUUAAUAACAAAAGAUGAUCCAGAUAAAAAUAAAGUAUUAUGAUACUUGCAAAGAUAAUACAGAUAUAUGAAACAGUUUAUCCUUUACAACAUGAUAGGCUUUUGUUCUCCUUUUGUGUGCUUUUUCUAAUUGUUCGGCUAAGCUCUGAACUGCCAAUUCACUUCUCAUUCCUUUCAGUGAGUCUGCCUUUAGGAAUAAAACUGCCUCUCUCCCUGCUUCCUCUUCCAUAGUACAUUUAUAUAGUUCUUGUAUAUUUUUUAUGUUUUUUAUUGCCUCAAAAACAUGUUUUUUAUGUUUUUUACUGCUGUGAAAGACAGUAUACUGUAAUGAAAAGAGAAAGAAUCUCUGAAAUCAGACAGACCUGAAUUGAAUCCCGGGCUCUCUGUCCUUAUGCACAUCAUUUAACAUCCCUGAAUCUAUUUUCUCAUUCACAAAAUGAAUGUUUAUAAGUAUUAUUAUGAGAAAAAAUAUAUAUCAUAUCUACAUAAAGUUUGGUACACACUGUGGAUUUUAAAAUCAUAGAUACUCUGAAGGUCAUAUGUAAAGUUUUCGGAUUUCAUCAAAUCUUAUUUGCCUUCUUAAAGGCACAUUUUACUUAUUUUUAUGUUCUUAAUUGAGAUUUUAAGAGUUGACAAGUAAUAUAUUACAGUAGUUUGAUCAAUAGCUUUUCUACUCAUGAACCAUUUCACUUUUUAAAAUGCCACCAUAGAAUCUAUUUUCUUUAAAAUCUACUUUUUGUUGCUAUCCCUGAAUAAUUUGAUAGUUCCAACUGUUUCUCUGUUUCAAUUAAUUUUUUUGUCUUAAUUAACUUUUUCUCUUGUAAAAUAAUAUAUCCCAAUCUUAAACCUUCAGAACAGAGACCAUAUUAUCUCUGUUCAUAAUACACUGAAUAUUCUGUUAAAAACAAUACCACUGUGAAGAAAUGAUUAUGUAUGUGAAUACUACGGAUUUCACAAAUUUACCACUCUGCCUGAACUCUUUCCUAGAUCACAGGAUAUUAUUAUAUGACACUUACAAAAUUCUUUAUCAUUUUGCAAAUAUCUCAUAAUCAUCUAAUGGAAGUCUUCAAAACACUAGUAUAGGUUGAUUUUAUUACUGUUGGUGAGAAGAGGAAACGAAGAUGAAAUAAUGAACAUUUGUCAGAUAUCAAACCCCAUGCAUGCUACCAGGAAAAAUAGGGUUAGCACUCAGUCUCUGAUCUGCUGAUAUCUGUUGAGCCGGAGUUAUAUUAGCAUUAGAGGAAGAAAAAUAUCUAUUCAUUUCCAAGUAUUAUUAUUUGGAAAAGAUCAGUUCAGUGUUAAAGAGGUGGUUCUAUUAAUUUUCAAAAUAAAUAAAAAGCAAGUUCUGGUUAUUCUUGAGACUUGAGAUGGGAAGGGAGGCAGGAAAACCAUAAGCUAGGGCCACAGAGCAGGAAGAAGGUAAAGAAGAAAAAAAUUGGUGUUAGGCAAAUCCUCAUCCAUCAUCACAUGGGAGAAGUACUUUAAAGCAAGACCUCUGCCUUUCCUCAUCUGAGGUCUCCCCCAGAACCUUGUAGGAGAGGAAGACAUACUGCUGUGUCUUCAUUUGGGAAGCAGCAGGAAAAGGCAGUAUCUCCUUAGCUGAAAGAACCCCUUCCUGACAGCUGUGGGGAUAAGUACUUGUGCCACCAGACUUCUUAGAAAAUUAUCCCUAAAAUCACCAUUGUUCAGUCAGUUAGAAAAACAACAAAAACAAACCAAAAAACAACCACCAAACCAAAAAAACAAAAGAAAACAAACAGCUUCAAAGAGAAAAGAAUGUGGAAAGAGAGUAAGUAACAUAUGAAAUUUGAUGUGACCUUCCUAGCAUUUUUUUGGAGUUUAGGGUAGAGAGUAGAAAACACCCUGAACUGGGAUUUAGAAGUCUUGAUUUUAGUUUGAGCAGCUUCACUGUCUAGCUGUGUGAUUUCAGACAAGUGACUUAACCUCUCUGAUCCUUCAUAUUUAAAAUGAGGGGGCUGGUUACUAAGAAAUGUCUAAGAGUGCUUCGAGAGAUAAAUUCCCCAAUUAACAUUUGAUGGUGCUUUACCACCUACAAAUUGUUUCCGCAUACAUUAUCUAAUUUGAUUCUUGUGCUAGUUCUGAGGUAGUAAUAUUAUGAUCAUGCCCAUUUUAGAGGAGAAAUUCAGAAACCACAAAAUGGCAGAGCUGGCACUGAACAGAUGUUCCCAAGAGGAAAAUACCCCUUUAGUAAAAGCAGCAGCUGAUGCUCACAAGGAUAAGAAACAGCAGAUAAUUUAGGCUGUGAGCUCUUGUUUAGGGGUGCAACAGAAUUUCUGGAUGCUACACUGGGGCAAAGAUAAUCCACCCUGUGGAAUGUUAUCUGGUGAUGUAUUUAUCAAAAAAAAACUAAUAAAAAGAAAAUUAAAAAAAGAUACAAUAAUUGUUACUGCACUACACCCUAAUGAAUUAUUGUGUUCAAGGUUCCUACAAAAAAAAGUAAUAUUAUACUCGGCUUAUGUUUUAAUUGAUUUAUUAAUAUUUUAUCACAGGAAUGUAAUUUAAGCUCCUCAUGAUUUAGAUCUCAUAAACCUUUAGCAUUUUGCAAAUUCAAAUUCCAAUUUAAAGCCAGGGCGAGCAAUUAACUUUUCUAUCAUCUUGUCAGGGGAGAAGGUUCGUGUUUAAUUUGAGACAAAGUGACAGAAAUAUAUAUACACUGUAUGUAUUACUCCAAUUUAAUUUAUGAGUCAGCACCAUCCACCUUCAAAAUGUAGAUUUAAUAGAAGGGGAGGAAGAAAAGGCCGUGCUGUCAUGAUAGCUCUGUGAUAUCUGCCCUGAAUUUCUUAUAUGUUUGCGUGUGUGUGUGUGUGUGUGUGUGUGUGUGUGUGUGUGUGUAUCUAUAUCUAUAUGUCUACAUAUAUAUCUGGUUUGUUGAGAUACCAUCCUAGACUGAUGCAGGCCUACUUCUAAUUCUUUUGUUUUAAAUCCAUUUACUAAUUCUUUGUUCAUAUAGCAUAAAAUCUCAUAGAUAUCACACCCCCAAACACCUUUACCUCUGCUCCUCCCCAGUUCUCAGUUUCAUCUAGAUCUGCCCCUCCAGGUUUAUUCUGAAUCUAGACAAGUGAGAUACACUAUGGAAAAUAUUGCCUUGAGAUCAUUUCGUCAUCCUCUUUCUCAUUUUCCAAAGCAAUACUUUAAAUACUCUACCUAAAACAAACAAGCAACAAAAAAACCUCCCUACAACUUUAUAUUUUAAUUUAUAGGAUGUAUAUGGCAAGUUAAAACUGUGGCCCUUUCCAGUGAUCCUCUACAAAAUAUUUAAGGAGAAGAUAGAAGAAAGAAGCUCAAACCACAGAAGGUAGUCAGGUGAACAGAAGGGAAAUAUUUCCCUUUAGUGGUUAUUAAACACUGGCACAAGGCUGCAGAGAGGGGUUAAGGAAUUCUUUCUAGCUGUGUUAUCCUAUAAUUCACCAAAGGCGCACAAUGCUCUAUGCUGAUGAGAUGAGUUA